rnacentral:rRNA from 1 species
UACAGAGGGUGCAAGCGUUAAUCGGAAUUACUGGGCGUAAAGCGCACGUAGGCGGUUCAGUAAGUUGGAUGUGAAAUCCCCGGGCUCAACCUGGGAACUGCAUCCAAAACUGCUGAGCUAGAGUACGGUAGAGGGUGGUGGAAUUUCCUGUGUAGCGGUGAAAUGCGUAGAUAUAGGAAGGAACACCAGUGGCGAAGGCGACCACCUGGACUGAUACUGACACUGAGGUGCGAAAGCGUGGGGAGCAAACAGG